AAAGAAAUCCUCUUUUGUCAUCAUUUCUCACGUUCUCCGUUACCGUUCUUGAUCUCCGUGCUAAGAAAUCACCCACAUGUAACAAUAACGUGACGCUAGCCACGCCCUCUCUGCUUCUGCAUGUGCCGUCUCUCCUUCUCCUCCAUUUCCAUAUACAAAACCCAUUGCCAGUAGUAAGCAUAGCAGCCACAUCACAUGCCUUUCCUUCUCUCUCUCUCUAAAUUUGGCUGCAGAUAUUCAAGGACAGUUGUUACAGCACACCCCUGAGAUUUCUCCUGAACAGACCAAUCAAAUUGAUCCAUCAAUGAAGGACCAAACCGAGUUCGACAAGCCCGGGAAUCCCCUCAUCGCCUUUGAGCAUAAGAGGGAUGCAUAUGGAUUUGCAGUGAGACCGCAGCAUGUACAAAGAUACAGAGAAUAUGCUAAUAUCUACAAGGAGGAAGAGGAGGAAAGAUCAGACAGGUGGAAUAGUUUCUUGGAGCGACAGGCGGAAUCUGCAAAAUUGCCUGUAAAUGGUUUAUCUUUGGUGGAAGAUAACAAGGCAUUGCAUUCUGAAACAACAGAGCAGCACACAAGUGAUGGUUUAAAGAAGGGUGCUGAAGGUGAUGAUUUAAGCAGUGAGAGGGCUGGCUCUGAUGUUUCACCAAAAGAUCUUACUGAAAAUGAAGAGACACAGUUAAAAGCCAAUAAAAAAAUUCAUAGGGUCCAAAUAUGGACUGAGAUUAGACCUUCCCUUCGUGCCAUUGAAGAUAUGAUGAGCAUUCGUGUCAAGAAGAAGGGCAAUCCAUCAAAAGACCAACAAGAAACUAAACAAGAACAUCCUAUUGAAGAUGCCAAAUCAGCAAAAGGAGUAUCUGAAGAGGAUUCUGAGGAUGAGUUUUAUGAUGUGGAAAGGUCAGAUCCAGUUCAAGACACCCCUUCCAGUGAUAGUGUUAGUGCAUCUGCGACAGUUGCUACUGCUGCUAAUGUAGCCCCUCUAGAAUCUUUGUUCCCCUGGAAAGAAGAACUGGAGGUUCUUGUUCGUGGAGGUGUUCCAAUGGCACUUAGGGGAGAGCUCUGGCAAGCUUUUGUGGGUGUGAGAACACGUCGAGUGGAGAAGUAUUACCAGGAUCUACUUGCUUCAGAAACUAUUUCAGGAAAUCAUGCAGAACAGUCUGACAGUGAUUCUAAGGUUUCAACUUCAGAUCCUAUAUGCAUGCCGGAGAAAUGGAAAGUGCAGAUUGAGAAGGAUUUGCCACGGACAUUUCCAGGUCAUCCUGCUUUGGAUGAUGAUGGAAGGAACGCUUUGAGGCGGUUGCUUACAGCAUAUGCUCGACAUAACCCCUCUGUUGGAUACUGUCAGGCAAUGAACUUUUUCGCGGCAUUGUUACUACUUCUGAUGCCCGAGGAAAAUGCCUUUUGGACACUGAUGGGCAUUAUUGAUGACUAUUUUGACGGCUACUAUACGGAAGAAAUGAUAGAAUCUCAGGUGGACCAACUUGUUUUUGAGGAGUUGAUGAGAGAAAGAUUUCCAAAAUUGGUUAAUCAUCUGGAUUACUUGGGAGUGCAGGUGGCAUGGAUAUCUGGACCUUGGUUUCUUUCCAUCUUUGUCAAUAUGAUUCCUUGGGAAAGUGUUAUCCGAGUUUGGGAUGUUCUUCUGUUUGAAGGAAAUCGUGUGAUGCUGUUUCGAACUGCACUUGCUUUGAUGGAAUUAUAUGGUCCAGCCUUAGUAACAACUAAAGAUGCUGGGGAUGCAAUUACUUUGUUGCAAUCCCUUGCGGGGUCAACAUUUGAUAGCAGCCAGCUUGUUUUUACUGCUUGCAUGGGGUUUUUGGCUGUAAAUGAGGCUAGACUACAAGAGUUGAGAGAAAAGCAUAGACCAGCUGUACUACUAGUGGUAGAGGAAAGAUCGAAAAAGGGUAGAGUUUGGAAGGAUUCAAAGGGGCUUGCAUCUAAGCUGUACAGUUUUAAGCAUGACCGUGGACAAGUAACAAAAGAAAAAAAGAAUGGUGAAGGAGGCAAGUCUAACUUGGAGCAUCCCUCCUCUAAUCUGGAUGCUUUGCUUGGUGAUCUAAAUGUUGUAACUGAAGCAGAUUCACUACCUGAUCUUCAAGAACAGGUGGUUUGGCUGAAGGUUGAAUUGUGCAGGUUGCUGGAGGAGAAAAGAUCUUCCAUACUCAGAUCUGAGGAACUGGAGACAGCAUUGAUGGAAAUGGUAAAAGAAGAUAAUCGACGGCAAUUGAGUGCAAAGAUUGAGCUAUUGGAGCAAGAGGUGGCUGAUCUGCGGCAAGCCCUUUCUGAUAAGAAAGAACAGGAAGCUGCAAUGCUUCAGGUUCUGAUGCGGGUAGAGCAAGAACAGAGGAUAACUGAAGAAGCUCGUGUAAGUGCUGAGCAAGAUGCAACUGCUCAAAGAUAUGCAGCAACUAUACUUCAGGAAAAAUAUGAGAAGGCUAUGGCUUCACUUUCUCAGAUGGAACAAAGGGUGGUUAUGGCAGAAUCAAUGUUGGAGGCUACCAUAAAUUAUGAAUCUGGGCAAGCUAAAGCACUGUCUUCUCCACGGUACACAAGGAAAAUCAUCAUUGUUUUCUAGUUUUUCACGUGGCUAACAUCAUAUAAUAACUGAAAAUAGUCCACUCUGCUUUGCAUGAAUAUGUGACCGAAAACUAAUGCGACUCCUUUCACAUGGUCCUUUUAACAAGUCCAGCCAACUGACAAUGAAAACAUAAAAUGCAACAUAUGAAAAUUCUUUAAAGACCCCUAAGAAAAGUUUGGCUUUCCAUCUACAGAAGAUCUAAAUUACAUCUAGCUAGCGUCUGCUAGAAAUGCACAAAUGCCAGCAACUCUGUCCUGGAUGGUAAAUUUUUCUUGUUUUAUGACCUUAAGCUUUUUAACAAAUAGUAGCAUAUGGGUGAUUCUCUUUGCCAUUGUCUAUCAAACUUACAUAGUACCAUACUACCAUUAUGUCAUGAGGGAUCUAAAUUUGAUCAAAGAUCAAUGAAGCUUCCUUGCAAUUAAAAUAUUUUCAAAGCUUUUUAUGUAUGUUCUGCAAAUAUGCAUACACAGCACAACACCCUUAAAGUGGUCUUUUUUCUUUAAUGGCAAAUGAAUCCCCUGAUUAAUGCUAAUGUGGAUCAAUAGAAGGUUGCCCUCUGGGAUUUAUCUAUAUAAGCUUUUUCUGCAGACUGUGACAUCCAUUAAUGCGCCUAUGCAUGAUCCAAGACAUAUGCUCUUUUGAUAUUGAUGAUUGUGCAAUGGGCUUUACCAUUGUUUCUGCAUGCCAUGCAACCAUUUUGUUCACCUAGUCACACUACGAAACUGGGAUUUUGUUGCAUACAAAUCUUUUCAUCAGUCGCUUUACUUAAGCAUACUGAGAAUUCAUGUGCAUUUGAAUGUAUUUUGUGCAUCUAAGUUGCAUUGUGUUUCUGUAUGUAAUUUGCUUGUAGAUUAGGGCACAGUCAAAGCUCCACAGCAGAAAGCCCCGGAAGAAGGAUGGGUCUAUUAAAAUUUGGCCUUGGAUGGCGUGACAAAAUUAAGGCAAGUAUUUGUGCUUUCGCCCUAUUUUUGGUGAAUAUCCGUGUUAGGUUCAAAACAAGGGAAGAUGAGUAUAGAUAAAUGCUUAAUAUACUUGAAAGCAGUCAUCAAUAAUUAAGAGGACAGGUUUGCCCAGUAUUCCCUGGCAUGUUAUUAAAUUGCAAAAUUUUUAUUUGUUCUAAUUGUUUAAGUUGGUUUAAAUAACAAUCUCUAUAGUCCACUUUGUUGGUUCAUUAAUUGUUCUUAAGAUUUUCCUUUGGACAGUUCCUCGAUAAUGGAUUUAAGCCAUGAUGUGUGUGUGUGUGUGUUUUAAUUAUAUAAAAAAAAUUCUGUGUGACAGGGGAAACCAAAUGACGAGUCCGCCGACAUUAUGUCCAGUAAUGGGGGAAAAGAUCCAAGUCCUUUGCUGAAAGAAAGCUAAGACCAAGAGAAGAUGUAGGGGAGAAUUUUCAGAAUGCCUCUAAGAUGGCACUUUUUGCCCAAGAACUCGCCAAGUUCUCUUUGUAAUUAUGCAUACAUUCAGGGUAGGAGAAAGGAAGCCAUAUAUUUGUAUCAAUUUCAGUUCGAAGUAAUUAAAGCAAUUUUUGCUCCCCCUUCUCUUCCCUUUUUUCAUCAUCAUCUUCUUCCAGAGAACAUAUUGUAGAGUAUGAUUUAUAACAUUUUUUAGUACAUGAGGUUCUUUUUUAUUUCAUUUUGUUCAAAGCUGAAUGAAGAAUAAACUACCUUUCCUUUUACAAGUUUAUAAAUAUUUUGC
rnacentral:misc_RNA from 1 species